UACGGGGGGGGCAAGCGUUGUUCGGAAUUACUGGGCGGAAAGGGCUCGUAGGGGGCCAACUAAGUCAGACGUGAAAUCCCUCGGCUUAACCGGGGAACUGCGUCUGAUACUGGAUGGCUUGAGUUUGGGAGAGGGAUGCGGAAUUCCAGGUGUAGCGGUGAAAUGCGUAGAUAUCAGGAAGAACACCCGUGGCUAAGGCGGCUCUCUAGUACGGUACUGACGCUGAGACGCGAAAGCGUGGGGAGCGAACAGG
rnacentral:rRNA from 1 species